GCCCGGCUAGCUCAAUCGGUAGAGCGUGAGACUCUUAUUCCAAGAAUUCACACAUCUCAAGGUUGUGGGUUCGACCCCCACGUCGGGCU